UUCGACCUCUUUCUCUCUGUCUAUAUGUUUGUAGCCCCGCCGUCUACAUCUCCUCUCUGUGUGUUGAAGCUUGAAAGAUUGAAGAUGGAGCUGGUUCUAGUGUGAAAGCUGCUGUCCGAACGAUUCUGAAUCAGGGUGGUUUGUACACGUCGAAGACCCUCCAUACCUUCUCAAAGUAGUUCCUUUCACUCAACCCUUUACAGACCAAAUCCUAAGAGUGCUGCUCAUGUUCCUUUCACUCAACCCUUUCACGAGUCUCUCUUCAUUCCUAUCCCAUCACCACAGUCAUGUCGUAAUCUCUCUCUCUCUCUCUCUCUUUCUCUCCAACUUUGAUUGGUUUUGAUUUCAGGUUCUUACUUGUGUUUGUUGAUAUUGUGAAAGAGAUAUGAAGAGGGUUAGAGAAGAGGUUUACGCCUAAGCUCAGACAUGAGGACAUACAUUUCCUCUCGUGUUAAAAUUUUAUGGGAAAUGGUGCAGGAGGAGAUCCGUGUUUCAUCAUUAAAAGGCUAAGACAAAGAAACAUGUUUUACCCAGAAGAUUGAAGUAGAGCUGUCUCGCUCUCUGUAACUUAAUACUACUUAUUAUACUGUAUUCUGUCGUCGAGAGAGCCCACCUAGGAAGAAGAAUACAGUGUGUUUCCGGCGAUGGAGAGGAGGAGGAAGAGGAGUGGUGUGGAGAGAAUCGAUGAAGCUGAUGAUUAGAUGUAUAAUUGUAACAGUGAGAAGAUUCACAUUGAUUAUAGAUUGAACGCUAAAAGGGCUGAGAGAUUGUCUUUGCCUGCUUCAAUUGAGAGUUUGGUGUAGUCACUUGAGAAAGAGAAGCAGAGGAACGAGAAGCUUUAUUUACUAGCAUUGAGUUAGUUUAACUUUUUUUUUGGUUUUGUUUAUGACUAGAUUUGAUGGUUAUAUGUUCCAUUAUGGAGUUCAUGUGUUUCAUUUAUUGAUUUUGUAUGUUUUGAAUCUUUAAUGGAAAAGCAUAUGUUAUUUUAUGA